AAGUAGUAUUGAUUUUUGGAUUUCAAUUUCCAAAUGUUAGUUGCUAGUACAUAAAAAUACACUUUUUUUGCUAUAUUUUUCUUUCUUUCUUUUUUUUUUUUUUUUUGAGACUGAGUCUCACUUUGUCACCAAGGCUGGAGUGCAGUGGUGUGAUCUAAGCUCACUGCAACCUCUAGACAGAGUCUCACUACGUUGCCUGGGAUGGUCUCGAAUUCCUGUACUCAAGCGAUUCUCCCACCUCUGCCUCCCAAAGUGCUGGGAUUACAGGUAUGAGUCACUGCAUCAGGCCUAUAAAGGAUGUUACAAAGGAUACAGAUGAACAGCCAGAUGGAAGAGAUGUAUAGGGCAAGGCAUGGGGGAAGUGCAUGGAGCUUCUAUACCCUCUCUGGAUAUACCACCCUCCAAGAAUCCCGUGUGUUUGGCAGUCUGGAAGCUCCUCCAAACAUUGUCUUUUUGGAUUUUU
rnacentral:lncRNA from 1 species